UUGCUGUGGUAUGCUGGGUUUCCACUUCAAUGCCUAGUCACCUCAAAUUUUCCUGUACCUGCAGGUAUCACCAGUUAAGCCUGUGAAGCAGCAAAGAUGGCAAUCUGCACCAUCUUCAAGAGGUCUGUGACAGGGAGACAAGCUGUGCUAUGCUGGGGGACCACUUCAGCUCAUGGUCACCUCAGACACUAUGAAGCCUGAAAGUUGGAACAGCUAAAUCGCCCAAACAGCAAGUAUGACAGCAUCUACAGAAAUCAUUUUAUUUGAGUUAUGUAGCAAGAACCCAACUUAAGCAAAUAUAAAACUUAUGACUAACUCAUUAUUUGGAUAUUAAUGUCUAUGCUAAACCGAUUUGUUCAUGGGCUAGUCAGCUAUUCAUAUGACCUUUACAAUUUUCUGAAUUCUAUUUUUUGGUUAAAAAAAGAAAACAAACUGAUACUUAUCGCUUUCCAAUAAACAUUUGAUUUAAGUUGUUAUGCCUUCAAUAUCUCAUGUAAAAUGCUAGUUUCAUUACAACUGUAUGUAAAUAUGUAUAAAAUAGAAAGUAUCUGAGAUAAAUCUCAAUCAGUUUUGAAGUUUAUUUUGCCAAGGUUAAGGACAUGCCCAGAAGAAAUAAACAUGAAAUCACAGAAA